GGAGGGGUGAUCUAGCUGCAACAUCUGUCACCCCAUUGAUUGUUGGGGCUGAUUUGACUGAUUUGGCCAGCUAGGCAGGUGUCUCCUUCCUCCUUCACCAUUCCAUGUGCAUCCCUCCUGAAACUGCACAUUCAGUAGAAGAGGACAACAACCCCUGAUAAAGGAGGAUCCUUCCUCAGUCAAGGGUAGACGAGUAGCCACACUCCCCUGCUAGAGCCUCCAAAGAAGCUCUCAAAAGGAUAACAGAGGAGAUUUAAAAAACAGAUCAGUGAGUUCCUUGGCAUGAUCAU
rnacentral:snRNA from 1 species